UCGGAGGGAAAGUCUGGUGCCAGCAGCCGCGGUAAUUCCAGCUCCGAUAGGGGACGUGCGACUUGCUGCAGUUGAAACGCUCGUAGCUGACGUUGUGGGACGACGGAGCGGCGGGGUCGCGCCCCGCCGCGCCAGCAUGCGAGCGGGCCCUCUGCGUGGGGGCCCGGCUGUCACUGUGAGUACAAGGAGGGUGUUCCAAGCAGGCGAGCGGGCCCUGGUGGCGCGAGCCCCGGGCCCUGCGGCCGGCCGGUGAAUACGCGAGCGCGGGAUGACGAGCGCUGCGCGCCCUCUCCGCGAGGAGGGGGCGUCCGCCCCGGGCGGCCUGCGUCAGCGCAGCGGGUGGGUGUUUGAGGCGAGCCGGGGCGUGUCGGAGCACGCCGGGGCCGUGCGUGUCUUCCCGCGGGCGGCGACGGCCGCGGGGAGGGCGAAGAGGGACGGUUGGGGGCGAUUCGUACUCCGUAGCAAGAGGUGAAAUUCU
rnacentral:rRNA from 1 species